rnacentral:misc_RNA from 1 species
AAGUCGUAACAAGGUUUCCGUAGGUGAACCUGCGGAAGGAUCAUUAACGAACUUGAAAUCGGGAGUCUGUUGCUGGUGCGGAAACGUACAUCGUGCACGGCUUCUGUGUUCAAUUCAACCCCUGUGCACCUCAUCGAAGCCGGUAGUCCCUUUAUCUUCUUCGUUUUGCCGGUCGCGUGCGGUGCGGAUUGCAAGUAGCGAGUAAGGCGAACGCAACUCCGGUUGUCAGUAGCUUGAAACCGAAAGUGGUCUGCCUUCACGUUCGGCCGGCGAGAGGGGGGAGAGGUCGAGGGUCGAAAGCUUUGACUUGCCAUUAAACGCUUUGUAUGUCUUGUGGAAUGUAUUAGCUCCUUCGUGGGCGAAAUAAAUACAACUUUCAACAACGGAUCUCUUGGCUCUC